AUAGGGUAGGUGAUUAAUCUCAUUUUAAAGGGGUAAUAUGUGAAUUUGAAACAUUGUUUAUAAUGCUUUCACCUUGGAGAACUGAUUUCCUGC